GUGUGUGUGUGUUAGAGAGAUAGAUGAUAGAUCAGGAACCUUGCACAUUCUAGACACAUAUGCGUAAAUGCUAUGCUACUUCUGAACUUAGAGGUAAAAUUUUAUUUGAGUUUGGUGAAUUCCUAAUUAAAUUAUACACAGACAAAAUAAUUGAUAUACAUAGUCAGAAAAAAAUCAAUUUGUGAUAAAAAUGGAGGACAGAAUGUUGUGGUACUUAAAUAUUUAUGUUUUUUUUUUCCAUUUUCUCUAUGGCUUUAAACAUUUAUUAAACUCAAAGGAAGCUAUAGUAGGGUUCUUCAGACAUAUUAAAAAUAACCUUGUAGAAUCCUUUCUGAGAACAGUCCCUAUCUUUCUCAAUUUAUCCUUCAUUGAGUUUCAGCGAUGACUAGCUGAAGGGAGUGCUUAGUGAUCGGAGUAAAGUGAGUAUAUUGCCAGACAGGUGAUUAAAGAAAGUUAACCAUGUCUUUCUCAGUUACUUCCUCUGGGCUCUUUAUUCUUUUUCAGAUGAAAUAUCGCCUUUCAAAUCAGGGACACUGUGCAAAAUAGGAAUGGAUCUGAGAUGACACACAUCCUAAGCUCCUAUCCUGGCUCUGAUCCUUUUUAACUAUCAGACAUUAGACAGUCACUGAACUUCCUGAGCCUAUUUCCUCGUGUGAAAAAUGAAGGGGCUGGAAGAGAAUGAUCCUGAAAUUACCCUCCUUUUAUGUUGUAACAAUGCAGUAGCCCCCUUUUGUCACUAUCAGCCUUUCAAAUUUGAGAAAUUCUCUCUCUAUGUUUUUCUUAGGUGUACAGACAUGAUUCUUUAUUAUGAUGUAAAGACUCCCUACUGUGCCACAGCUGGCACAGGUGAAAGAAAUUAAGCAAGAGCACACUAUCACUGUAAGACCUCAUCACCUACUCUGCUUAAUUAUAGAAGUAAGAGCUGGAAUAUGAGAUUUAUGAAGAUAAGCUGAAAUGCAGAUAAUAGGUUCAGGGUAAUGUAAGGUUGAUGAUGUGUUAUUUUGGAAUCUUAAGUUCUCAAGUUCUGCAUAAGUCAAGUAAGAUAGCAUCAUAAAUUUCAAAGAGAAAAAUCGAUCCAGUCUCUAGGCCAGUGGGUAUGGAGUAAAACCUUUAAAUUUGAUGAUUAAUUACAUUAAUGAACACCAAGAAAGUAAACAACCAAAAUGUAGCAUGAUUCCUCUGGUUAUAAUUUAUAUCUAUUCAAAUGACUGUAGGAAAGUAAGUAAUGGAUGUUAAUUUAUACAAGACAUUAAGAAAAACACUCAUUAUAGACUUGCCAUAUGGCAUGGAGAUGUGGGAUGGUAUUCUCUCAUAAAUCAACUGGUAAAACAAGAAUCUCUAUUGAGUUUCUCUCCCUUUCUCCUCCUCCGUACUUCCUCUGUCUCUGUCUCUUCUCCUGUCUCUGUCUCUCCCCCCAUCCCCAUGUCUCUCUCCAUCCCUCUCAGUCUCUUACUUGUUUUCUCAGUAGAGGAUGGUUGAUGUUUGUUUAUUACGUUUCCAAGACUGGUAUUGUUUUCAAGGUUUUAGGUGAUGAUUUAAACAUUGAGUUAUAAAUGAGUGUUUAUUGUUACAUGAAAUGGUCAGAAGGAUAGAUUGUGCUAGAUAAGAUCUAAGUUUUUAAGUCAAGAUUAGCAUUUC
rnacentral:lncRNA from 1 species